AAGAGGAAAGCACGUCGGUCUUGCACAAUGGCAUUGCACGAUUUACAAUGUUAUUAGUCUAAGGGCCUACGAAUGAAGCAGGAUUAGCUUAAAAAAGUUAUCUUCAGAAAGACAAACCAUUUGACGCAGCCAUGUAUUCAACUAAAGUGUGAGCUGAAAUGUGAAUUCAUUCAGGCUUGUGGAGAUCGGUCAUUGAGGCAGAGUUGGGGGGGGGGGAUUUUGAUAAUAUCUAUCAUCUAAAUCACUAGUGUGAAAGUUUGUGAAGCUCAACAUUUGGAGUAAUAUUAUGCAAGGAUGAUGGAAACAG